GACCUCUGAGGCUGUAGCGCGCCUGCAUGCCGAAGACGGAGAUGGUGCCGGUGCCGGUGCGAUCGUCCUUUCGGUGGCCGUGCUGCAGGAUGUGCCGGACCUGCUGCAGCAGGCAGUGCUGAGCUGGGUAGGACAGAAGGCUUCGGCCUGUGCUGCCAGGCUGCAGUGCCUCAGGAGGGAUCGCUCCAGCCUCAAUACCCAAAGCCCCGAGUGCAGCCCAGCACCUGCCUCCAUCAUCUUCUGUGAGAUGCUCCUGCAGCACGAUGUCCCAUGCACAGGCUUGCCUGCUGUGUUACACCCACCCAUGCUUUUACAGCUGGGCUCCUUUUCUGCCAUACCUUCUCACCAAGGGUACCACUCGGUGCUGGAUUUUAUUGAGUUUCAUCUUGUCGAUCUCAGCUUCUCUCCCCCAUUUUUCAGCAUCGUUUUGCAUUCUGACUUGUGCCUUCUGAACUGAUUGAAAUGAUUCCAGAUGCAGCAUCAUCUGAAAUUUUUCUAGGUAUAUUUUCUCUGUUCAUCAAAACAAACUCUUACCUGAAUAUUUCUUCACUAGUAUGUCUUAGAAGUUGAGCAUUUCCUAAGAGUCGCUUAUCUCUCAUAUAAAACCCAACUUUCUAACUACUAGUGUGAUUACAGGAGUUAUGACUACUAAUCUCUCAAGAUUAGGAUCCUGCAAUACAAGCAUAUAUAAUGGAGGUUGAAUGGAACAGAGGACUGUUUACUAGAAAACAUUACUUCUCCUUACUGCAGGCAGGCCAGGCCACCUCAGCCUCUCUGAUGGAAGACAUCUCAUCUGUUUAAAAAUUAUACUUCUGCAUGCGUUGAGGUUUUGCUUCCCAGCUUCAUUUGCUAAGAUGAGGCUGUCAGACACUCAAUGACCUGAAGAGGAGCCAUCUCUGAGUCUAGUGCCUCUUCAGCAGAUCCGUGGGACGCUGCAGUGCUUGUAGGUCUGCACUUCUUGUGGCUCUGGCCUUUAGGAGUGCCAUUUGUGAGCAUAGGUGGCUGCCAGAGUUGUGCAUGACAAGGCUCCUCACGUUUUCUCCAGGUUUUGUGGCUAGCCCCAUGGCAGCAUGGCAUCACCAGUAGCAUGAUACCACCUAAAAAACACACCAUCUUUCCUGGAGUUUCCCCAUGGGGUGAGAUAACAUGAAGCAAUGUUUGCCCCUGCCUCUCUGGCCUCGUUCCUCCCUCCCCAUCUGGAAAUCUCUUAAACACGGAGCGAGGCCUCCAUGAGCAAUUCUUACAAAAAUGGUUAGAAGGCUGUGGGAAGGAUUUUCCUCUGCACACUCCUACAAGUCAAAUUGCAGACUUGGUUAACUGCUACUCUGAGCAAAGCACUGCUAAUGUGCAAAUUUUAUGGCAAAGCAACUCUUUCAAGUCAAGAUGCUGGUUCUAACUUUUCAGUCCUUUAUUGUCAAAAAUAACAUGGAGCAUGCUCUUAAACACCACCUAAAAUAAAAAACAUAAUGAAUAGUGGUAAUUUCAGUUUGUACUUGAUUAAUGAAGGUGAAGACAUGGUAUCUGAUGCCAAAGCUCUGGACUCUGGUUGAGAGGCAAUUCUUUUCUGAUGGAAUAUUUGUCAUUACAUUACCUCAUCCCAGAUGUUACUUAAAGAUCGAGGGUUUCACAGUUAAAUAAGUGAAGUCUUUUAAUAUCAUCUUGUCUGCAUUUUGCAGGCUGAAACAUUGAGCAUUUGUUUUUGUUUUCUGUAACGCUUGUGUUUGUCUCUCAAUCAAUACAUUGUUUCUAAGGA